rnacentral:ncRNA from 1 species
AAUUAUAUUUGGCAAAGCCAGAGAAAUCUGGUGACGCAAAGCUAUAGGGUCCGAAAGGACAGCCAGUUGCAUUU